GACGAACGCUGGCGGCGUGCUUAACACAUGCAAGUCGAACGGAAAGGCCCUGCUUUUGUGGGGUGCUCGAGUGGCGAACGGGUGAGUAACACGUGAGUAACCUGCCCUUGACUUUGGGAUAACUUCAGGAAACUGGGGCUAAUACCGGAUAGGAGCUCCUGCUGCAUGGUGGGGGUUGGAAAGUUUCGGCGGUUGGGGAUGGACUCGCGGCUUAUCAGCUUGUUGGUGGGGUAGUGGCCUACCAAGGCCUUGACGGGUAGCCGGCCUGAGAGGGUGACCGGACACAUUAGGACUGAGAUACGGCCCAGAGUCCUACAGGGGACAACAGUGGGGAAUAUUGCACAGUGAGCGGAAGCCUGAUGCAGAAACGCCGCGUGCGGAAUGACGGCCUUCGGGUUGUAAACCGCUUUCGCCUGUGACGAAGCGUGAGUGACGGUAAUGGGUAAAGAAGCACCGGCUAACUACGUG
rnacentral:rRNA from 1 species